CAUAUCUAUCAUAAUUCUGUCUGCUUUUUUUUUUUAAUUUCCAUAUACUCCACUACUGGUAUGUAUAUCUAUACUCAUUUGACCCUAUAUAUUCACCCGCGUAUGGCGUGAUCGAUUAUCAUUUUCAAUAAAUAGUGUACAUCAGCAUUAUUGUUCGACGUUUACCCAGUGAUCAUUUGCCGAUUGAACAUACGUCACUGUCGACAAUGUCCAACUUUAACUUGUCGCCAGAUUUAUUUCCAAUGGAUUCUAAUGGACCCCGGGACUUGGUCGCCAGUCCCGUCUUAGGCAGUGCCGACACUCGUUCAAGUGUCAACGGUCGACGUCAUCCCUGAGACGCCGUCUCCACCACCAACACCCAGAUGGUCGACUUCCAACGGGUCUACCAGUUCCCUUUGGUCCGACGAUGGAUGCGACGUGACCCUCAACCAAAUGCUACUGGCGAUAGCGGGGACGCGGAGGAAUUGGAUUGGUGAUCCAUUUUUUUUUUUGUAACCUCAUGUCUUCAUUGUAUAAUAA